AGCAGUGGAGAUUGACCAUUUGGGGAUGCUGGGUACGCCUCGGUUCCUUGCUCUAGUUGGAGGAUCCCCGCCGUCCUGUUGUUCCGGCUCUCGGUGCUACCUCCGCGGCUGCUGCUUGGGCGCUGCUUUGCCCUCCACGCGAUAUGCGCCACUGCUAUUCUGGUCAUCCGUCUGCUAGGCAUGCUGCUCCGCUCUGCAGCCGCUGCUGUUCUGGUCAUCCGUCUGCUAGGCUUGCCGCUCCGCCCUGUGUGCGAUCUGGUUUGUAUUGUUUCCUUUGAUAUUAGAUUUGUUGUUUGUUGUCGUGGGCUGGGUUCGGUGCAGUGUUUCUCGAGCAAUGAUGUCAUUGGAUUAGGCAUUGGUUUUUAUAGGGAUGCUGCUUAUGUGCUUCAUUUGUUGUGGAGGGCGCACCGUGGAGGAAGAUGCCGCUUAUGUGCUUCAGAUGAAAUGCAUUCAACAUACAUGGUGGAAGAGAGCUGCCCCAGGCCCCCACUACUGAACCACCACGCCCACUAUAAGGAGAUGGAGAUCUUCGUCCCAGGGGUAAUCAAUUUAAACUUUACUAAUAUUAGUCACCUACAUUACCAUGAUCUAGUAUACGGACAGUGAUUCACCAACC
rnacentral:lncRNA from 1 species